AAUCAAAUUUCUGCUAGCAAUAGGUAACAGUCCCUAAGUAUCCUGAGCAUUUCUGACAUACCUUCUGAAGGUCUGUCACCCUUUAUGUUCUUUAUGCUUUCCCAUGUAUGUAGGACAGUUCCUCUUCCAAUGGCCGUCCAUGAUGCAAUGGAAACAUUUUUCCUUGCAAUUGGCCUUUUCUUGGAACUUCCUCAUUUGGCAUUUUCUCGGUCUUCUGUUUCUUUGCAGGCUUUUUCUUCUUCCAAAUAGAC
rnacentral:lncRNA from 1 species